rnacentral:snoRNA from 1 species
UCCCUCUCAGGGUCUCACCUGGAGAGUUUCCAAUACUCGACCAGUCUUGACUAUGGGAGGGACAGUCAAGCAGAGGUAUAUCUAUUCCAUUCCUAGCUUGACCAGUGGCUAGUGAGUGGAAGGUGAUCUGCUACAAGU